GAUGAACGCUGGCGGCGUGCCUAAUACAUGCAAGUAGAACGCUGAAGCAGUAGCUUGCUGUUCUGGCUGAGUGGCGAACGGGUGAGUAACGCGUAGGUAACCUGCCCUGUAGCUUGGGAUAACUUUUGGAAACGAUAGCUAAUACCGCAUGACAACAGUUCUUGCAUGAUAACUGUUUGAAAGUGGCACCUGCUCCACUACCAGAUGGAGCUGCGUUGUAUUAGCUAAGUGGUGAGGUAACGGCUCACCAAGGCGGCGGUACAUCAGCGACCUGAGAGGGGGGACGGGCCCAAUUGGACUGGAGCACGGGCCCAACCCCUUAGGGGGGCAGCAGUAGGGGAUCAUCGGAAAAGGGGGGAAGGCUGACCGAAGAACGCCGGGGGAGUGAAGAAGGGUUUCGGAGUGGAAAAGUCUGUUGUAAGGGAAGGAAGAGUGGGAGGGUGGAAAGUUCACGUUGUGACGGUAUCUAACGAGAAAGGGACGGCUAACUACGUG
rnacentral:rRNA from 1 species